rnacentral:rRNA from 1 species
AUGGUUCACACUGAUAUUCAGAUUGAUAAUAAGAAAUUAUGGAAGCUCAAAAUUCCAUCAAGAGUGAAGAUAUUCCUCUCGUUUCUAAACAGAUGGGUCAUCUUAACUAGAGAUAACCUGGCACGACGCAAUUGGCAAGAUAGCAAGACAUGUGUCUUUUGUCAACACGACGAGUCCAUCAAACACUUAUUUUCUGAGUGUAAGUUUGCUCGCGCAGUCUGGGCCAUAGUUCAAGUAGUUUCAAAUCUAUAUCCCUCAAGUAGUGCACGUAACAUGUUCCGCAAUUGGUUGCAGGGUAUCGAUAAACAACUUUAUGCACAUCUACUCGUGGGGGCGACUGCUUUAUGUUGGACAUUGUGGCUUACCAGGAAUGAUGUGAUUUUUAACAAUAAAUGUGUUUCAUCUCAUGUGCAGGUUAUUCAUGUGUGUAUGCGAUGA